rnacentral:rRNA from 1 species
CGGUAAUACGGAGGAUCCAAGCGUUAUCCGGAAUCAUUGGGUUUAAAAGGUUCGUAGGCGGUCUGAUAAACCAGCAACAGGAUCCUUCCGCUUAACGGGAGAACGGCCAUUGAUGUUGUUAGACUUGAAUUAUUAGGAAGUAAGCGGAACUGAUGGUGGAGCGGUGAAAUGCGUUGAUAUCAUCAGGAACACCAGUGGCGAAAGCGGCUUACUGGGUCUCUUCUGACGCUGAGAUACGAAAGCUAGGGGAGCGAACGGGAUUAGAUACCCCGGUAGUCCUAGCUGUAAAUAAUGAGCACUUGAUCGUGGGGCCCCCCAUAGCCUCUCGGUCGCAGCGAAAGUGGUAAGUGCUCCGCCUGGGGAGUAUGGUCGCAAGGCUGAA